GACGAACGCUGGCGGCGUGCUUAACACAUGCAAGUCGAACGGUGAUGCUCCAGCUUGCUGGAGUGGAUCAGUGGCGAACGGGUGAGUAACACGUGAGCAACCUGCCCCAGACUCUGGAAUAAGCGCUGGAAACGGCGUCUAAUACUGGAUACGAAACUGGCCCGCAUGGGCAUGGUUUGGAAAGUUUUUCGGUUUGGGAUGGGCUCGCGGCCUAUCAGCUUGUUGGUGAGGUAAUGGCUCACCAAGGCGACGACGGGUAGCCGGCCUGAGAGGGCGACCGGCCACACUGGGACUGAGACACGGCCCAGACUCCUACGGGAGGCAGCAGUGGGGAAUAUUGCACAAUGGGCGAAAGCCUGAUGCAGCGACGCCGCGUGAGGGAUGACGGCCUUCGGGUUGUAAACCUCUUUCAGCAGGGAAGAAGCGAAAAUGACGGUACCUGCAGAAGAAGUACCGGCUAACUACGUG
rnacentral:rRNA from 1 species